rnacentral:rRNA from 1 species
UGCCAGACUCCUACGGGAGGCAGCAGUGGGGGAUAUUGCACAAUGGGGGGAACCCUGAUGCAGCGACGCCGCGUGGGUGAAGAAGCGCCUCGGCGCGUAAAGCCCUGUCAGCAGGGAAGAAAAUGACGGUACCUGAAGAAGAAGCCCCGGCUAACUACGUGCCAGCAGCCGCGGUAAUACGUAGGGGGCAAGCGUUAUCCGGAUUUACUGGGUGUAAAGGGGGCGCAGACGGCAGCGCAAGCCAGGAGUGAAAGCCCGGGGCCCAACCCCGGGACUGCUCUUGGAACUGCGCGGCUGGAGUGCAGGAGGGGCAGGCGGAAUUCCUGGUGUAGCGGUGAAAUGCGUAGAUAUCAUGAAGAACUCCGAUCGCGAAGGCAAGUGUCCGGGGUGCAACUGACGCUGAGGCUCGAAAGUGCGGGUAUCAAACAGGAUUAGAUACCCGGGUAC